UUUUUUAGUAUUUACAGUUUUUGUAAAAUUAUUAAGACCAUAUAAAUGAAAUUUCUUAAUGCUACUUUAUUUUCUUCAAAAAUAAUAAAAAAUAUGCCUAAGCCUAAGAAAAAUACAAAACAGGUUCAAGAUAAAUUAGAAACUGUUCAGUCUGGACCAAUAACAGUCGACAAAUCAGGAGGCAUUGUUAUUAAAAUAAAUGCCAAACCUGGUGCUAAAAAUAAUAAUAUAACAGAUAUAUCUUCUGAUGGUAUUGGUGUUCAGAUAAAUGCACCUCCAACUGAUGGUGAAGCUAAUACAGAAUUAAUAAAAUAUCUAUCAAAAGUAUUAGGUUUGAGAAAAAGUGAUUUAAGUUUAGAUCGAGGUUCAAGAUCAAGAAAUAAAAUUUUAAUUGUGCAAACUUCAUUAGGCAUAGAAGGCAUCACUGAAAAAAUUAACCAAGAAAUUAAAGAAAGUCAUUAACAAAAUAUGAUAAACUUAAAAUGGAUGUUAAAAUAACUAUAAAAUAUUAUUGAAAAAGGACACUGUUGGUAUAUUGAUAUUAAUGGGUCAUUAACACAAUUAUGUGUAACAUCUGUAUUGAACGUGUAAUGGACAAAACCAAAUUGGAUGCAAAUGUUCCUACUAUGAAGAUACAUACUGUCUAUACAAUAUUUCAUUUCAGUCAUCUCACAAAAUUAUACUGUCAAUGAAUAGGUUACCAAAAAAAUUAAUUUUUCGUUAUUACAGAAAUUAUAAUUUAAUAUAAUAUGUAUGUGAUUUUUAA
rnacentral:misc_RNA from 1 species